CUUAUGAUUCCCAUCGAAACUGCCCCCUCCCCCAACAAGUAAAUGGUAAUAUUGUAUAUAUGUAUCAAAUGGGUACAAAGAUAGAAAUAUUGUCUUCUAUGGCAAAUUGAUGAUUAACACGAAAUGAGAUCUGGUUGUCUCUGGCUGCAAGCACAUUAGGGAUCAGGUUUGUCCUUAAAACACCUCGAGCCUCAGUGUGUGCUUGGAAAAAUUUGACUCCAUUUCUCCUGACAGAAUGUUGGCAGGCGUGCAGAAGCCUGUAUUCAGACAGGAGGCAAGGGCUCCUUGUUCUCCCUUGUUCGUUCAGCUAUUCAACCAAUGUCCUGGUCCAGAGGAGACUGAAGAGUUUACUUGUUACAGGUUUAGGCAAGGGCACUUACUUUUCAGUGGGACGCAUCAUAUUUCAUGAACAAUUUUUAUUUUGAUGGAGUUUAUCAUUAGUCUGUAGUGUACAAGGUGCUUAUCUUAAUUAUUCAUACUCUUUGCAUCAUAUACUUCAAACAGGUAUGCAACAUUUAUUAUUUUGUACAGGUUCUUUAAUUAAAAAAUGAUACAGCAAAUAUCUUCACAUUGCAGUUCACUGGGGCAAUGAACUGCCAACAAAGCUUCUUUAAAAGGUUGAUUACAAUCCAAUUUUAUGGCAAAAACAUAAAGCCUGCCAACAGGUUACUAUUACCAAUCUUCUCAGACAUAUACUUGUUUUAAAAAUGUAUUCCUUUUAAAAUUUUGGACUGUCCACGGUUUGUUCAUUGUGAGAAAAUAAUUUGAACAUAUUUGUAAAUUUAUAAAAU